rnacentral:lncRNA from 1 species
UCUCGACCAAGGAUUGCAAUCUAGUGCAAUUCGUGAGAGGCUCGAUUAAGCAUUUCACGCGUGCAAUUCGUGUGUUUGUGAAAAUUUUAGGGUUGUCCCAUGACAAGCGGCAUUUAUUACUCAUGCCUUCAAACCAGUGGACAGUUGGGGGUAAUUUUCAAAUUUCAACUAUCGAUCGACUCAGAUGACAAUAAGUACAACACAAAAAGAUUAACUCAACUAAUCAUAAUUACUAUCAAGGUUUUUUCGAGUCCAGGUUCGAGUUUAUAUAUUAUGUGCAUUGUUUAAAAAUAUAUUUUUUUAUUUUAGGAUUUGAAUUUACAUUUUUUUUUUAAUUAACCAUGGAUGGAGGUGUAAAUGGGUCUGGAUCCGACCCGGUCUGAACCCAGCUGCCUGGAUCCAGAGCUGAGGUUAAUUUUAACCCUAUUAAACAUUUUGGGGUCUGGGUUCAAACUCGGUUCCAAAAAUUAUAAUUAAAAAUAUAAAUUAUUAAUAUUAUAUUUAAUCUUAGGGUUUUAAUUAUAAAAGUAACCUAUAUCAUCUUCAACGACCUUAGGGUUUAAUUAUAAAAAUACUCAUUAUAUUUUCUUAAUCUUAUUUAUUUUCUAAAUUACACAAUUACACAUGCUUAAUCCCAACACAAUCCAAAUACCUUAGGUUUUUUUUCCAAAAACUGUGACUUUUUGAUUCUGUAUGACUAAUUAAAUAUCUAAAUACUUACAUUAUUACUGACUUACUGUAUUACAGGAUAUUUUAAAGUUAAUUUUUUAUUUACUAUUUUAAUUUUUUAUUAAUUUUUUAAGAUAUAUUUUAAGUUAUGAUCUAUUUUUGUGAUCUAUUUUUAUAAUGAUCUAUUUUGUAUGAUCUAUAACUUCUCUCUAUAUCCCAUAAUCUUUGUGAAUGAAAAACAUCUGUCAUUCUUUACACGGAUAAAUCAUUUGACAAAAGAAAACAUCAUUCAAUGUCUGUAGAAGAAGAAUGUUGUGACUGUUUCAACGUUGUGAAGAAGAAGCAUUACAAUGGAUGGAGUGAGAUCUUCAAAGAAUUUAAAAAAUGCAAAAGCCGUCGCCGUUUUAAAAAUCGCCGUUCCAAUAAUCAAUUUGAGCUUUCAAUGUACAAUAUCAUGCAUGGAUUUUCAUCAUCAAAUUGGGUCCGUGAAAAAGCUGUAUCUUCUUACAUUCCGAAAUAUAUGUUUUUCAAUCUGUUCUCAAGCUUCAGAGAUUUCGUUAAAUCUCGCCUAAAGUUCGACCCGUUAGACCACUUAGUUAAACUUGGGUGUUCAUCAAGCUCCUACUGUUUUUUAUUCCAUAUUUUUGUUGAAUUCUGUUCUUAUCAAUUUCCAAAUAUGAUAGAAACAAACAAAGAUAUGGUGGAAUAUUGUGUCGAACUUACAAAACAACCCAAAACAUGGUAUCCGACAACUCGUUCCGUGAAACGGUCUAUUAUCUAUCAUUGCGGGCCGACAAACAGUGGAAAAACUCACGCCGCACUGAAAAGAUUUAUGGAUCACAACCACAAGGCAAUUUAUUGUAGUCCCUUGCGUAUUUUGGCCAUCGAGGUUUGUGACAGAGUGAAUGCGUCUGGGAUUUCAUGUAAUCUGAUUACAGGUCAAGAAAAAAUUAUAAAACCGCUAUCAACACAUAUUUCUUGUACAAUCGAAACAAUCACAACGGAUGACUAUUACGAUGUCGCAAUAAUUGAUGAGAUCCAAAUGGCGUGUGACGAACAACGUGGUGGGUCUUGGACAAGAGCGUUGCUUGGGAUAAAAGCCAACGAGAUCCACUUAUGCGGAGAUACGACUGCUAUGAAGAUGAUCACCAAGAUACGUCAAGAAUUGGAGGAAGAUCUUACAAUAAAGAGAUAUUAACGUUUAAAGCCAUUGCAGGUAGAAGAAGAGAGUCUCCGCGAUUUAAAAUAUGUUCAACCAAAAGACUGCAUCAUCGCAUUCUCGAGAAGAAGUGUUUAUGAAAUUAAGAAUAGGAUAGAGGAAUCAACCUCGUAUCGAUGUUGUAUGAUCUAUGGUUCAUUACCAUCUUACACACGACAAAGACAGGCUGAGCUAUUUAACGAAGAAAAUAAUAAUUUUGAUAUUUUGAUAGCAACCGAUGCUGUGGGAAUGGGGAUGAAUUUAAAUAUCCGAAGGGUUGUAUUUUCCUCAUUUUUGAAAUACGACAGGUAUGGACAACAUCAAAUUUCGGCCUCUCAAGUCAAACAAAUUGCAGGACGAGCCGGAAUGAGAGGAUCUCCAUACCAUCAUGGACUAUGCACAACUUUAGAAGAUUGUGAUUUACAAUAUUUACGACACUGUCUUGAAAAACCGUUGGGAGAUAUGCAACAGAUGGGUCUUUUCCCUCUCUACGAGCAUCUGAACUCAUUUAUGAACCUUGCGAAAGAAAAACUUGAGUUUUACAAUAUGUUAACUAGAUUUAAAGAAUCCAGUUGUAUGGAUGAUGAAUAUUUCAUGUGCGAUGUCGAACAGUUCGAGACGGUAGCAUUUGCAUUGAGAUCGAUCUCCACCGGUCUCUCUUUUAAAGAAAGAUUCAAUUUUUGUAUGGCACCAGUGAACAUAAAGAAUCGUGAUGUAAUGCGACAUCUCUGUAUCUUCGCAGAGUUAUACAGUAAAAAUCUUCCAAUAACAUUUUCUAUUGAAUUGGAUACUACAUCAUCCAUAGAAGAUGAGAGAGAUUUGAUGGUUUUGGAAACAUACAAUCAAAUUCUGACUGUGUAUAUAUGGCUAUCUCAACAACUUGAUAUCCAAAGAUUUACGCAGAUAAAAGAGGCAGAGAUGAUCAUAAGCAAUAUUAACUCUUCCAUUUCAAAUUUUUUGUUUAAAGCAGUCAAAUAAUAUCGAUCAAGAAAUGUAUUUUUUUUAAACGGAAUGUACUAGAUUUUUUAAAAUUUUUAUGAUAUAUAUAUGAUAAGAAUUAGUUAAUUUAGUUGUUCAUAGCUAGUAGUUUAAACUGUUGUUAGUUGAGUUAACUGAAUAUUAGUGUUAGAUUGUAGUAUAUAAUAAGGAGAUUGAGGAUACUUUGGAUAAUAUAUAUACUCAAUGUAUUUAAAUCAGUCAAAUAUUUAUAUCAGUCAAAUAUUUAAAUCAGUCAAAUACUUUGGAUAAUAUACCCAAUAAGGAGAGAUUUUUUUUUUAAGCAUUCAAAUAUUUACCGAGAAAUGUAUUUAAAUCUCAACCGUCUAUUAAAAAAACAUUUAGAUUUGCACCAUAUUUUUAACCAUCCAUCCAAAAAACCAUUGGAUUUAAAAUCAACGAUAGGAUUAAAGAUAUCUCGUAUUUAGGAUUCAACAGAACUCUUCUAAAAUAUAAAGUGCAGGUGCGCACCUACUAAUAUACGCACCGAGCGCACCCUAUUAAUUAUUACUUCCUUAAAAAAUAACUAAUUACUACGAUCUAUUGAACCUAUCUGUACCUACUAUUCCUAUACAUCAAUUGUCAUGUCAUUCAUUUGCCUAUUUAACUAAACCCAUUACCUAUUGAUUAUGUCAAUCAUGCGAUCAUACCCUCCUUCCUCUUCCAAACGACUUCCUUUCUCUCACACCCAUUUCAAUCCCCCAACCUUCCACAACUCUUCAUACCCUCCUUCCUCUAAACACAUUUCUAAUCACCCGUCUUCUUGAUCGGCUACUCCUACUGCCUUUUGUUUCCGAAACAAUUUUUCAGUCGCCCGUCGUUAUCUUCGGUCGUCUGUUUCUACAGUAGUAUCCCCAUUGUUCGCACUCGGUAAUUUUUCCAAUCAUAGAUGAGUAUUUUAUACUAGUUUCUUUUUCCCUUUAUUAUGUUCUGUAAUCUAUUACCUAUGAAAAACAUCAAAUGCCACCUAUAAACAACUACUGACACCCAUAAACUAAAAACACUAUUACCUAUCGCAAUUAUGUACUACCACUAACCCUAACCCUAGUGCAAUUUUGUACCACCACUAACCCUAACACUAGUACAAUGAUGCAUCACCACUAACCCUAACCCUAACACUAGUGCAAUUAUACACCACCACUAAACCCAACCCAAACACUAGUGCAAUUAUGUACCGCCACUAACCCUAAUCCUAAACCUAAACCUAACACUAGUUCAAUUAUGCACCACAACUAACCCUAACCCUAAUCCCUAGUGCAAUUAUGUAACCCCACUAACCCUAACCCUAACACUAGUGUAAUUCGUGGGAGGCCCGACCAAGCAUUUCACACGUGCAAUUCGUGUGAGUCUCGAUCAAGGAUUGCAAUCUAGUGCAAUUCGUGAUAGGCUCGAUUAAGCAUUUCACGCGUGCAAUUCGUGUGUUUGUGAAAAUUUUAGGGUUGUCCCAUGACAAGCGGCAUUUAUUACUCAUGCCUUCAAACCAGUGGACAGUUGGGGGUAAUUUUCAAAUUUCAACUAUCGAUCGACUCAGAUGACAAUAAGUACAACACAAAAAGAUUAACUCAACUAAUCAUAAUUACUAUCAAGGUUUUUUCGAGUCCAGGUUCGAGUUUAUAUAUUAUGUGCGUUGUUUAAAAAUAUAUUUUUUUAUUUUAGGAUUUGAAUUUACAUUUUUUUUUAAUUAACCAUGGAUGGAGGUGUAAAUGGGUCUGGAUCCGACCCGGUCUGAACCCAGCUGCCUGGAUCCAGAGCUGAGGUUAAUUUUAACCCUAUUAAACAUUUUGGGGUCUGGGUUCAAACUCAGAUCCAAAUAUUAUAAUUAAAAAUAUAAAUUAUUAAUAUUAUUUUUAAUCUUAGGGUUUUAAUUAUAAAAGUAACCUAUAUCAUCUUCAACGACCUUAGGGUUUAAUUAUAAAAAUACUCAUUAUAUUUUCUUAAUCUUAUUUAUUUUCUAAAUUACACAAUUACACAUGCUUAAUCCCAACACAAUCCAAAUACCUUAGGUUUUUUUCCAAAAACUGUGACUUUUGAUUCUGUAUGACUAAUUAAAUAUCUAAAUACUUACAUUAUUACUGACUUACUGUAUUACAGGAUAUUUUA